rnacentral:rRNA from 1 species
GACGAACGCUGGCGGCGUGCUUAACACAUGCAAGUCGAACGAAGUGGCGAACGGGUGAGUAACGCGUAAUCAACCUGCCCUUCAGAGGGGGACAACAGUUGGAAACGACUGCUAAUACCGCAUACUGAUGGGGGGGAUGGAGUCGGAUUGGCGAGUUGGGGGGGUAACGGCCCACCAAGGGGAUGUUCAGUAGCCGGUCUGAGAGGAUGAACGGCCACAUUGGGACUGAGACACGGCCCAGACUCCUACGGGAGGCAGCAGUGGGGAAUCGUCCGAAAUGGACGAAAGUCUGACGGAGCAACGCCGCGUGAGUGAUGACGGCCUUCGGGUUGUAAAGCUCUGUUAAUCGGGACGCGGUACCGGAAUAGAAAGCCACGGCUAACUACGUGCCAGCAGCCGCGGUAAUUC